UUGAACCUCAAUACGUCAGGAGUGAUGUGUAACUUGUUUGUACCUGUGUAUAAGAAUGUAUCCCUGGGGUGGUGUCUUUGUCCGGCCACGGGGGCAGUGGAAAGUCCCGCCACUGAGCCGGGUCCUUGCCAAGAGGCACUUUCUCGUAGUAUGCCGGGUAGACUAAGUAAUCUACGGGGAACUGCAAUUGUGUCUGAGAUCGCAAUAAGCCUGGCCGAGGUGCCUUCGUACCUUACUAGACUCUGUGGUUAUUGGGGGUUCUCGUCGGGUUUGCUGUGUCAGCUAUCUGUGCAGAGCUGGGGCAGCACAGAGGGAACACACACACGCAGCCGAGUGAUAUCAACAGGAGAAAGCAGAAGCACCACACCGGUAGCAUCUAACAACACUGGUGACCCCGACCGCUGAUCUGCUGCAGAUGCGGCCUUGAGGGUCUCAUCAGGCACACCAAUGGAGCAGCUCACACAGAUGAGAAGAAAGAAGAGGAGUAAGGAAGACAUGUUCCAGAAGAGAUGACCUUGGGAGCCCAGCCUCCCUAUUUGUUAUCACCAGCUGAACAGCUGCGCAGAAUUAGAAAACGGCCAUGAAGAACUAAAGAGGACUUUCUGUGUGAUGUCAUGAUGCUCUCCGCAGCUGAAAAACAAUAAUUGAAGGAGUGGCAGGACAGCGAGAAGAGGGACUGAAUGGAGAACGUGGUGUGCCAGAACAGGGCAGAAUCCAUUCCUGCAGACCGAAGAGGCAGACUGCGCACUACACAAACCGUUGAAAGAUGGCACCAAAUGCAGACAGAAGUACAGGGAUUGCUGGGAUGUGAAGCAAUGCAUCACGGGGCAUUGGGACAGGAUCCAAGAUGCCCUGUGACCCCCUCCAUCUUCCCAUAACUCUUAGUGACAGAAGAGGAAGAGAUGCUUUGUGAGAUAGCUGCCCAGAGUGCACUGCUCCGAAUACCGCUGCAAGUGUUGCAAGUGUGAACACUCUAUUGUGCAGGCAGCUGAUGGUGUGAACACACAACAGUGGUUUCCCUUUAGUGCUCUUUGAGUGGUGCUGUAAUUGCUGGUGCUAUAACUCUGCUAGUGUAGACAUACUCUCAGAGAUCUAAUGCAGAACAGUUUCUCAGACACUGGGCUUGUUUAAAAUCCAUUAAAGUGCCUGGGUCUGACUCUCUCCAGCAGCUCUAUUGACUCCAUAGGGCUAAUGAGGAUUAAACUUGCUUUUGUCUGUAAAAUAAGGUUUGAUUUACACUUAAAAAUGUAACUGGCAUAACCACGUUGGUAAGGUGUGUGAUAUUUUGCCUACAUAGUCAUUGCAGUAAAAGCUGUAGUGUAGCUGCAAGCUUAGUAUACAUUCGAACAGAUUUGCUGGUAUAGCUACAUCAGCAAAUCCCCCAAUACAAACAGGGGAAAAAGUGCUUUUGCCAGUACAGCUUAGGGUACCUAUGGUGACCUAUAAAUACCCAAUGGAGACAGUGGCUCAGCAGGUUACAGUUCAGACACUGAAGCAUGCAGACGCAGCGCUGAAUGCAAUACACCUCUACCUCAAUAGAACGCUGUCCUUGGGAGCCAAAAAAAUCUUACCGUGUUAUAGGUGAAAACGCGUUAUAUCAAGCUUGCUUUGCUCCUCCGGAGUGUGCAGCCGCCCCCCGGAGCACUGCUUUUUCGUUAUAUCCGAAUUAGUGUUAUAUCGGGUCACGUUAUAUCAGGGUAGAGGUCUACUGGAGUAUCAAUGGCACAUACAGAUAGGCAAAGGAUCUGGGAGCCAAGACCCCUUUAUAGUCCUGCAGAGAAAGGCUGUAUCCACAUUAGAAGUGCUUUACCGAUACAGGAUUACUGCCAUGCUAUACUGGCAAAACACUCCUAGCAUGGACGCAGCUAUCCUGUCAAAGCUGUGCUUUGUACCAGUAUAACAAGAUCCCUCCUUAGGAGCAACAAACUAUACGAGUAAAAGCCCAGUUUUGCUAGUAUAACUUUCUCUACCCUAGCAGCUUCUGCUAGCACAGCUCUUUUGGUCAGGGAUCACACCUCUUCACACUCCUGACUGACAUAGCUACUUCCUCAGAAGUCUGUACUGUAGACUUCACUAAAGACAAGACAAGAUUCCAGUUCCAUUGCACUAUGAAAGCUGCAAACAGUGCAAAACUGACUUAAGAAAAGAAAGGACAGCCUAAGCCAAUGCAGCGUGAAAGACCCCAAACAGCACCACAAAGGGGCACAGAGGCUGUCUGCCUUUUACAAGAGUCUUCCUACAAGAGGACUAUGAGUGUUAUCAUCAACACCACAAAUUCCAAAGGAAUGCAGCCUCCUUGCAGAUCAAGCACCACCCAGAUCAAUCUCUAGCUAGGUCUUUAAGACAGUCUUGCUGGAGGCUCAGUCUAUGAUCAUCACUGCCAACCUCACUGCACCACCAUAGCUUCUGGCACGUAGGCCAUCAUCGACCAUGUAGCAACAUGCCUUCGUAAGUGUGCUUCGUAAUUCACUGGUCUUCCAUCCUAAUAAUAUGUCCAUACCAAGGAAGAUGCCAAACCAAAAUGUGUGCUGAUCGAGGUGGUUGGUGGGUUCGGCUACAAAUAUCUUCAUUGCAGAUCUUCGUCUGCCAUUUAAUAUGGAGCAGCUGCCAAAGACAACGAGAAUCAAAGGCAUCAAUCUGGUGCUCUUCAGCCUUCCUCAGAGCCCUCCUUUCCAAUUCCAUAUAACUGAGUCGAUACAACCAUAGUCCUAUAGAUCCACAGCUUCAUAGUGAGCUUGAUGUUCCAAUGUUGCCACAGAGGCUACAGGGCUUGGAACAUGGCAAUGACAUGGCGAUUGGUGACUUGCUUUUUCAUCACCUGAGAAUUCACAAGCAGACCCCAGUACACUCCACAUGGUUUCACUAGGACUGUCAUCAAUUAUGUCCUCAUUAACAAUCAAAGGUGGUCAACCACAGGUGCGGGGGGUGCUGCAGCACUCCCAGGCUUGAAGUGUUUCCAUUAUAUACAGGGUUUACAGUUUGGUUCAAUGGCUCUCAGCACCCCCACAAAGAAAACUGUUCCAGCACCUCUGCAGUCAACAGUCAUUGACAUACGAAUUGGCAGAGAUGCUGAACUGGGCACGGACCACCUGCUUAGAAAAAUGCACCUCUGACUUUGACAUCAGCCAAAUAAUAGGCUGAAAUUAGUCCCACCAACCAAAAGCUUUUAUUAGAACCCAGCUAACAGACAGCUUCCUGUUCCAAACUGCUCAAGGCUGUUGAAGUGUUUAGAGACCAAAGUUCCACUUUCUCAGUCAUCUGGUGAGGAAUGGCAUUGUUUCAAGUCAUCAGUGCUGACUGCUGCAAGGCUGGCUCUGGGGCCUCAGCCCCUCAAACAUCAACCAUGGAUCAGCAAGGAGACACUCACGGCAUUGGGAGCUAAGAAAGAAGAAGUGAGGCUACACGUUUAAUCUUCUAAGACUCAUUUGUUGAAAGAAAAGCAAAGGCUGAAUGAAGGAGUUUGACUUCAGAACAUCGUCAAGUCACUGUGUAAGAUGAGGAAUCCUAUUCCAAACUGGCUGCCUGAGCUGCCCAACGGGCACAAUGUCCACAGUCUUUACUCAGCUUUGCAGUAUCUGCAGGGGAAGGUAGCACCAUCUUGUCCAGUAUAAAGUAUCAUUUUGCUGUAUUUAAACAAUAAAAAUGUAUCUUGGCUUA